rnacentral:ribozyme from 1 species
AAUGCUGGCUUCGCUAUGAAAUAUUGUCGGUCAACGAAGUUCGUGAAGGAGCUCGCCCAUAACGUCCAGAACUACUACCCCGAGCGGCUCCAUCGGUGCUUCUUCUUUUACGCACCCGCUGUCUUU